rnacentral:rRNA from 1 species
UACAGAGACUGCAAGCGUUAUUCGGAUUCACUGGGCGUAAAGGGUGCGCAGGCGGCCAUGUGUGUCAGGUGUGAAAGCCCGGGGCUCAACUCCGGAAUUGCCUUUAAGACUGCAUCGCUUGAAUCAUGGAGAGGUGAGUGGAAUUCCGAGUGUAGAGGUGAAAUUCGUAGAUAUUCGCAAGAACACCAGUGGCGAAGGCGGCUCACUGGCCCGAUACUGACGCUGAGGCACGAAAGCGUGGGGAGCAAACAGG